UACGAAGGGUGCAACGUUGCUCGGAAUUAUUGGGCGUAAAGGCGCACGUGAGGCGGGCUUAGCAAGUCGGAAGAUGAAAGCCCUUGGGCUCAACCCAAGGAAGUGCUUUCGAAACUGCUGAGCUUGGGUAGUUAAGAGGAUCGCGGAAUUCCGGUGAUUAGAGGUGAAAUUCGUAAGAUAUCGGGAGGAACACCAGUGGCGAAGGCGGA
rnacentral:rRNA from 1 species